rnacentral:rRNA from 1 species
GGGCAGCGCGCGUAAAUGCAGUCGACGGGAAAGCGGGGGCAACUCCGCGAGUAUAGUGGCAGACGGGUGAGUAACACGCUGAACAAUCUACCCUUGACAGGGGAAUAACCCCGCAAAAGCGGGGUCUACAUACCGACAUAACAUCCCUGAGUCGGAUGGUGACAGGGAUCAAACCGUUCCUGCUUCUAAAGGACGAUUCCGCGCGCUCAUCAUAGUUGCUUGGCUGAUAGUACACGCGCCCCAACCGACGACCCACCCAUCCGUUCGGCGCCGAUGAACGAGCGACACACUCACCACCGGUGACAGAUGAGCCAGCCCAUCACUCUUCUAGGACGGGGCGUUCGGGAACAAUUUCGCGCAUUGGCCCACACCCUGACCCCCACCCCCCGCGCGAAACAAGAACGUCCUACCCUCAAACACUUCUGUCUAGGGAGAAAAAAAACCCGACAACACCUAUUGAAUAAGCCCUCUCUAGAUACCACGGAUAACUCCGUGCAAUACGUCCGGCUAAUUCGUUAUCGGGAAUUAUUGGUCCGUAAAUAUCUCUUAUACGGGUUGUCAACGCUGCUAGGUAAAUACGGUGUUUAAACUCCGAUUCUACCUCGGGAACUGGAUCAGAAACAUGCUGUGCCUGACAUACUGCAAUUCCUGGUGGAAUUCCUAAAAUACCCAUAAAUCGCGAAGAACACCGAAGGAAAACGAGCGGCUAAGGCAUCUACCUGGACCGUAACUAACCAUAUCUUCUCGAAACCUACGCGAUUAAAUACCCAUGAUAUACCCUGGCAUACACCUUUUUUAAAUAAUGGUUACGCCACAUUCCAAAUUAUCUGCCCCCGACCGAACGAA